UGCCAGCAGCCGCGGUAAUACGGGGGGUGCAAGCGUUAUUCGGAAUCAUUGGGCGUAAAGAGCACGUAGGCGGCUUGGUAAGUCAGAUGUGAAAGCCCGGGGCUUAACCCCGGAAGUGCAUUUGAUACUGUCAAGCUUGAGUAUGGGAGAGGGAAGUGGAAUUCCUGGUGUAGAGGUGAAAUUCGUAGAUAUCAGGAGGAACACCGGUGGCGAAGGCGGCUUUCUGGACCAAUACUGACGCUGAGAUGCGAAAGCGUGGGGAGCGAACAGGAUUAGAUA
rnacentral:rRNA from 1 species